AACGCUAGCUACAGGCUUAACACAUGCAAGUCGAGGGGAAACGACAUCGAAAGCUUGCUUUUGAUGGGCGUCGACCGGCGCACGGGUGAGUAACGCGUAUCCAACCUGCCCAUCACUUGGGGAUAACCUUGCGAAAGUAAGACUAAUACCCAAUGAUAUCUCUAGAAGACAUCUGAGGGAGAUUAAAGAUUUAUCGGUGAUGGAUGGGGAUGCGUCUGAUUAGCUUGUUGGCGGGGUAACGGCCCACCAAGGCAACGAUCAGUAGGGGUUCUGAGAGGAAGGUCCCCCACAUUGGAACUGAGACACGGUCCAAACUCCUACGGGAGGCAGCAGUGAGGAAUAUUGGUCAAUGGGCGAGAGCCUGAACCAGCCAAGUAGCGUGCAGGAUGACGGCCCUAUGGGUUGUAAACUGCUUUUAUAAGGGAAUAAAGUGAGCCUCGUGAGGCUUUUUGCAUGUACCUUAUGAAUAAGGACCGGCUAAUUCCGUGCCAGCAGCCGCGGUAAUACGGAAGGUCCGGGCGUUAUCCGGAUUUAUUGGGUUUAAAGGGAGCGUAGGCCGGAGAUUAAGCGUGUUGUGAAAUGUAGAUGCUCAACAUCUGCACUGCAGCGCGAACUGUUUUCCUUGAGUACGCACAAAGUGGGCGGAAUUCGUGGUGUAGCGGUGAAAUGCUUAGAUAUCACGAAGAACUCCGAUUG
rnacentral:rRNA from 1 species